rnacentral:rRNA from 1 species
UACACAAAUAUGAAGGCGGGCUGGAACCUCUCGGGGUUACAGCCUUGCUGAAUUAUUCACCCUUGUCUUUUGCGUACUUCUUGUUUCCUUGGUGGGUUCGCCCACCACUAGGACAAACAUAAACCUUUUGUAAUUGCAAUCAGCGUCAGUAACAAAUUAAUAAUUACAACUUUCAACAACGGAUCUCUUGGUUCUGGCAUCGAUGAAGAACGCAGCGAAAUGCGAUAAGUAGUGUGAAUUGCAGAAUUCAGUGAAUCAUCGAAUCUUUGAACGCACAUUGCGCCCUUUGGUAUUCCAAAGGGCAUGCCUGUUCGAGCGUCAUUUGUACCCUCAAGCUUUGCUUGGUGUUGGGCGUCUUGUCUCUAGCUUUGCUGGAGACUCGCCUUAAAGUAAUUGGCAGCCGGCCUACUGGUUUCGGAGCGCAGCACAAGUCGCACUCUCUAUCAGCAAAGGUCUAGCAUCCAUUAAGCCUUUUUUUCAACUUUUGACCUCGGAUCAGGUAGGGAUACCCGCUGAACUUAAGCAUAUCAAUAAGCGGAGGAAAAGAAACCAACAGGGAUUGCCCUAGUAACGGCGAGUGAAGCGGCAACAGCUCAAAUUUGAAAUCUGGCUCUUUUAGAGUCCGAGUUGUAAUUUGCAGAGGGCGCUUUGGCUUUGGCAGCGGUCCAAGUUCCU